rnacentral:tRNA from 1 species
GGUCGAUUAACUCAGUUGGUAGAGUGUUUCCUUGACGUGGAAGAAGCCGUGGGUUCAAGUCCCGCAUUGACCACCA